rnacentral:lncRNA from 1 species
ACCAACUUUUUGCCACAUAUAAAUCUUUGGUAAAGUGGAAGAACUUGCCAAUUAUCAAAGCAAGUUGGGAGGGCGACGUGGGGGCAACCCAGCCAAGUUGGUCGGGCAAUUGGACUAACAAUCGUGAGGUUGCUAGUUCGAUUCCCGUUGGAGCUGCUUAUUGGCCUUCUUGAUUUGAGCCGGUCAGCUAUGGGUAACUUAGGCUGGUUUACCUCCUUAUGAUCCUUUGCCGGUUAGAAUUACAAGUCGGGGUUUACCUAGUGCGCACCUUUGAGUAGCGACUGCAGGUUCCCUUAUCAACCAAAAAAAAAAAAAAAAA